rnacentral:rRNA from 1 species
GACGAACGCUGGCGGCGUGCUUAACACAUGCAAGUCGAACGGAAAGGCCCUGCUUUUGUGGGGUGCUCGAGUGGCGAACGGGUGAGUAACACGUGAGUAACCUGCCCUUGACUUUGGGAUAACUUCAGGAAACUGGGGCUCAUACCGGAUAUGAGCUCCUGCUGCAUGGUGGGGGUUGGAAAGUUUCGGCGGUUGGGGAUGGACUCGCGGCUUAUCAGCUUGUUAGUGGGGUAGUGGCUUACCAAGGCUUUGACGGGUAGCCGGCCUGAGAGGGUGACCGGCCACAUUGGGACUGAGAGACGGCGCAGAAGCGUACGGGAGGCAGCAGUGGGGAAUAUGGCACAAUGGGCGGAAGCCUGAUGCAGCAACGCCGCGUGCGGGAUGACGGCCUUCGGGUUGUAAACCGCUGUCGCCUGUGACGAAGCGUGAGUGACGGUAAUGGGUAAAGAAGCACCGGCUAACUACGUG